GUAAUGAGUUUUUAGUGACUUGGUCAGAGUAGCCUUGAAUUUCCGUAAAAUUCAAGUCCUGAGCCAGUUAGAAGGAAGAGAGAAGGGCCUGGUGAUUCUGGGCAGGCUGCUUAGUGUGUUAAGAGGAUGAGCCUUUCCUUGAAGCUCAAGGCAGACUCAGGACUCAGAUAUUGUCCACGAUGGCUAGGGAACUCUUUCCUGGCAGAAUAUUGGUGCCUUAUGUCCUCCUGUGUCCCAGGCAGCCCUUGUUCCCUGCCCAACUUCCGCUAUCACCUCUCUCUCCUCCACAAGGCUGUCCCACUGUUGCCUGGAUACGCAGAAUGAGAGGGCAGUGAGUGAACGGUCCCCACACGGAGUCUCCUCCAUCACAGGAAUUGCUGGUCAUUGAAAUAAUUAGCUUCUCUUCAACCUCACAGAAAGAAUACUUCCUUCUACUCAAAACUGUAUCAGGCCCAGAGACCUCAGCUGGGUUUUAGCUGCAAUUUUAACUGUAUAGGAAAAGGUUUCAGGAUGCUGGGCAGGAGAGAGGCCAACUUUCUCCACAGAACAGCGGAGAGAAGCAGAAACAUACCACAAAGAUGCGGUUUCAAAGCCACUUUCUGAGGCAAAAACACAGGAGAAAUUAAGCAGACAUGAGAAAGAGUCCAGUUUCGGUCUCUCACUGGCUGAGAGUCAAAAAAUUUCAACACACUUGACCAAACCAUUGCGUGACUCCCUGCAAAGAAGUCUACUCCAUUCUCUGAGAAAUAUCCCUUGAAAAAGUAUUCAAACAGCUGAUAGGCCAUACUUGAGGUCAAGGCGUGUGUCUUAACCUCAUGACCUUUGACCUUUGGGUCUUGCUAGCACUUUCUCAUCUACAAAUCUGAACAAGGUGCUUUCAUUGACCACCUUGAAAUUCACAAAAGGGAAUUCUCUAGAAAGAGAAAUAAGCAAGUCAGAUAAUUCUUCACUUAACUUUGAAACUUGGCUUGAUCCUUAAACUUAGUUAUAAGUGACGCCCUUAGAAUAAUACAAUUUCAGAAGCUACAAAUCACACGUGUAGCUACUGCUGGGUGCAUGUCUUGCUUUCCACCCACCCUGUCUCUGCAAGUCUGCCCCUUGCUUAAUAAAUUCUAACUUUGCUUUGUACUGACA